AUUGAUCCAUCACAUCCAUUAACAAAGCAAUCGUGGAAGAACAAGCGAACGAUGGAUGCACCCUGUCGUUUCUCUUUAUUAAUGGCAGAUUGAACAACAGGUUUCACAACAGAAAAGAGGUUAGGGCAAGACUUGGAGUAGAAAUUUGUUGAAAGUUGAGCUUUGGUAGUGGUGAUCUCGAUGGAAGCCAAAGAGAUGAAGAUAAGGAGACAAGAAGUCACAGUAGGAGCCUUGAAAACUGAAGAAAAAGCCAUGGAUAUAUGAAACAGUACUAAGUACUACUAAAUUCUCAGUGAAGUUGGGU
rnacentral:misc_RNA from 1 species